UUGGCACAAGCAUUAUGUUUAUGGGAUCUUUUACUUGGGGUAAGUCUUUUGCCUCCACUCGAAGUAGUAAGUCCACACAUGGACUUACCCUAAGAGCAGUGUGUCUACUCCUGGUGUCUUAUGUCUUGCUUGUGCUGCAAUUCAGUGAACGAGAGGAAUAGCUGCUGCAGAAGCACGGAGUGUUACUUAAGGGCGAGGGGAGGGGUAUUGCUCAGCCUGUGAUCUUGUGCGAGAUCUUGUGGUCUUGCAGAACAGUGGCAGUAGGAACGCCUCUCUUGACCGAUAUGUGCAAAGUGACUCAAACCUCGCUGGCUGCCACUUGAACACAGGUUAUAAACGUUUGACUGAUAACAAAACUGAAAAGGAAGCAAUCCCCUGUUACUUUUAUUGAAGAAAGCCAGGGGAAGGAGUUUAAGGCCGCCGGGAACUAAAAAUAAAUGGGAGGCUGCUUCUAUGAGCAGCAGAAAGAUACUUGGAAAAAAACACCACAGAAGAAAACACUUUCUGGAACUCAACACUUUCUGUCCGUUAUCUGGCUUCGAGCCCAGAUGCAGCUGUGUUUUUCUCUGUCUUGUUUCAUUUUCCCCUGAGACAGAGAGGCACCAGCAGUGCCAAAUAAUCUAAUUGACUUCAAUGGCGGUGAGGGGAAGAGAGUGCCUGCAGAAUGUGCUGGAGGAUGCAGCUCUUUGGGGAUGGGGAGCAGGAGCAGCCCGAUGGAGCUGAGCUGCCCACCAGCACCAAACAACCAGGCACAGGGUUUCUGUGUUUCUGUCCUUUUUUUUUUUUUUGCUUGGACAAAGAGCCUUUGUUUUCAUUGCCAACAUGUUUGCUGAGGCUGCUGCUGGAUCAGGCAGUAAAUUCUCUUCCCACUGGAGCCAUGAAACUGAGACCAAAGUUUGCUCCUACAGAUUUCAGCAUGCUAUCUGAUGUGAAAACAGCCUUUAUUGCCUUUUUUUUCUUUUUUUUUUCCUUCCAAACACACCAAGCUGUAGUCUGGGGCGGAGCAGUUUGACUUCUGGGGAUGAGUUGGUGCUGAGGAGGGUGGCAACGAGCUGUUGUAACGCAGCAAAGCUCUGCCCAGGUCCAACUUUAUCCAAAAUGGAGCAAUUUUAAAACUGUACUGGGUCUGGCUGGAAUGUUAACUUUCCCGGCAGCAGCCCAUACAGUGCCGUACUCUGUAC
rnacentral:lncRNA from 1 species